rnacentral:rRNA from 1 species
UACGGAGGGGGCAAACGUUGCUCGGAAUUAUUGGGCGUAAAGCGCACGUAGGCGGUCUAUUAAGUCGGGUGUGAAAGCCCUGGGCUCAACCCAGGAAGUGCACUCGAAACUGAUAGGCUUGAGUACGGAAGAGGGUCUCGGAAUUCCCGGUGUAGAGGUGAAAUUCGUAGAUAUCGGGAGGAACACCAGUGGCGAAGGCGGAGACCUGGGCCGAUACUGACGCUGAGGUGCGAAAGCGUGGGGAGCAAACAGG